rnacentral:rRNA from 1 species
UCCUACGGGGGGCAGCAGUGAGGAAUAUUGGUCAAUGGGCGCGAGCCUGAACUAGCCAAGUCGCGUGAGGGAAGACGGUCCUAUGGAUUGUAAACCUCUUUUGUCGGGGAGCAAAAGACGCCACGCGUGGCGUUCCGAGAGUACCCGAAGAAAAAGCAUCGGCUAACUCCGUGCCAGCAGCCGCGGUAAUACGGAGGAUGCGAGCGUUAUCCGGAUUUAUUGGGUUUAAAGGGUGCGCAGGCGGAAGAUCAAGUCAGCGGUAAAAUUGAGAGGCUCAACCUCUUCUAGCCGUUGAAACUGGUUUU